rnacentral:rRNA from 1 species
AUGGCGAUCGUGAGGACCGGCGGCGCCAGGGUCCAGCGGCUGGAGUCCGGCGGGGAGGACGGCUCCACGGAGGACGAGGAGGAGCGGUCGCCCGCCACGGCGUCUGAGGAGUCCGAGGCGGAUGGGUUCUCUCCCGAGUUUGCGGAGCGGCGCAAGCACUACUACCAUGUGCAGAGGUACCACAAUUCGAUGGUGCUGGGGCUGUGGGACACCAAGGACUGCUGGAAGAGCUGCAACGGGUACAGCCUUGGUGAGAGGCUCAGAGCUAUGGAUGCAAUGAAGGCACAGCGGAAGCAGAAGGAACUGGGUUUGGUUGCCCGGGCUGGAUCAGAGACUGACUCAGAGAGCAGGGAGUCUGCGGAACAGUUCUUGACACGGUCGAAGCCAGAUAAGAUGGCUCUCAACAAGGCUGGGAAUUUAGGGAAGGAAAGGUCCAAGGGCGUUCUGCGGUUGGGUGUGUCAAAAGCCGUGGGUGAGGAGUACAUUGGAGGGGCUGGUCGUGAUGCUGCAGUGGCUCUCCCUAAGCUUUCUCGUCCAGAUAAUGCUUAUGGGUAUGAUGCCGGAGUCGCGCAUAGAGGGAAGCAGCACAGAAGCAUAGAUGGCCUUCAUUCUGAGGACCUGGGAUAUGACAGGAAUUUGCCCAGGAUCCGGUCUCAGAGACCUCUGAUGAAGCCAGUGAAGAAGGAAUUGGCCACGGGCUAUGAUAUCAAUCCUUAUGGAAACAACUACCAUGAUAGCCAGACUGGUUCUUCUUACUACCAUGGCAGGAAUGCCAUUGGUAAUCAGGGAGUUACCUUAGCAGCAUCAUUUGAGCCUCCAUAUUCUGAGAAUGCAAGGAGUGCAAAAUACUCGGAGAGAGAUCGGAUAUACGGUGGAAAAGCUGCCCAGAAUAAAGCUCCCAAAGUGGAAGCGAGGGAUUGGCCAGCUGGUAGCCAUGCUGAUCUCUUAAGUGACUGGCAGAGAGGGCAGCCUGAAGGCGAUUACAGGAGCAGGAAGCCUCAAGUUGGUCAUGGUGUGAAGGUUAAGUCCUACAAAAGUAUUGAACAGCAGAUAAAUGGUGCACAUUCUGGAUCUGAUCCUAGAGGCAGGAUAUCACAGGUUAAGAUUAAUGUUAAAUCCAAUAGUCAGCAUGGUAGGAUUGGCCAGAAGGACUCCAGGAGCAAAGCUGCCCAUGUUCAGAGUGAGGAGACAGAAUCUGAUUCAUCAGAACGGUUUGAAGAUGGGGCAGAUAUGAAUCUUGUUGAAGAACAGCCAAACCUUCAAUAUUCUGAACUUCAUAUACCAGCAUAUGGUGCCAAAAAGUCAAACAAACUUAGCAAAUCAGUCAAAACAAAUUAUCCUGCCCCUACUGCAGAUUUGGAACCCUACCAGACUCAGAGCAAGCGGUCACACAGAGGAAAGGUUGCAGAGCCUGAUUAUUUACGCGAUGUGCAUGUGGAGGUGGCGGAACAGAUUAGUGAAGUGAUGAGACCCCCAGCAGCAAGUAGUGAAAGAAAGCGCAAGGGAAUUGCAAACCUGGACAUGCAUGGUUAUGACAACUCUGAAUUGCAUGAUAGCAACGAGAAAGCCAAUGAAUCACUGAGGUCACCAGAGAGUGAUAGGCUGGCCAGUAGAGCAGGCUAUGCAGUCCAAGAUUCUAAUGGCGACUUUGAUGUUUCUGAAAGAGCGAACAUGCCGCUCGCAAGUUGCAGCUCUGGCUCCAAAAGGCAAAAAGGAAGAGUUGAACUUACAAGCCUGGAUGAGCAUGGUGAGUAUGCGCCAUCUGGUCCAAAGGUGGUAGAAAUCAGUGGCAGCUCGAAGAAGAAAAGUAAAAAGAAGCCAGAUACUGUUACAGAUGCAAUUACUGUAGCAGAACCAGCUCCUGUCGUGCCGGAGGUUAUUGUGGUGCCAGUAGAACCUGAGAAACCUAAGAAGAAGUAUGUACCAAUUACACCAACCAUCCAUACUGGCUUUUCUUUCUCCAUCGUACAUCUUCUAACCGCUGUUAAGAAGGCUAUGGUUGCUCCGGCUGAGGAUACUCCAGUGGCAGCUACGGUCACUCCUGCUGAGGUUACUCCAGUGGCAGCUACGGUCACUCCUACUGAGGUUACUCCAGUGGCAGCGAAGCAGACUGAUGGGGAGGAGAACAGAAAAUGGUUCAAUAGUGAGGAACCUGGCAAAACGCCUCAAGAGCCAAGUGCAGCAGAGCAAGCACAACCGGGCAAUGAAGUUGGAGAUACCAGUGCUGCAGAGCAGACCGCACAGAGCAAUUCGCCGGCACUAACUGUUCAAGAUCUUGUUAACCGGAUUAAAACUAAUCCUGGAGAUCCCAACAUACUUGAAACACAGGAACCCCUGCAGGAUUUAGUUCGAGGAGUGCUCAAGGUACUGUCAUCUAGAACAGCUCCUCUAGGUGCAAAGGGCUGGAGAGCGCUAGUUGCCUAUGACAAGUCGAACAAAAGCUGGUUCUGGGUUGGUCCACUGCCUUCUGCUACCUCAUAUAGUGAUCCUAAUGAAGAAACUUCUGCUGAGGCAUGGGGUAUACCACACAAGAUGCUUGUGAAGUUGGUCGAUGCAUUUGCUAAUUGGCUGAAAAGUGGUCAGGAAACCCUUAAGCAAAUAGGAUCCCUUCCACCACCUCCAGCACCAAAUCCUGCAAACUUGGAUUUGAAGGAAAGAUUUAAGGACCUUAGGGCCCAGAAGAGUCUGAACACAAUAAGCCCAAGCUCUGAUGAAGCAAGGGCAUAUUUCCAGCGUGAGGAGUUUUUGAGAUACUCAAUUCCUGAUAGAGCAUUUUGCUAUACUGCUGCUGAUGGGGAGAAAUCUAUUGUUGCUCCUUUGCGAAGGGGAGGUGGAAAGCCCACGUCAAAAGCUAGGGGACAUCCCAUGCUCUUGCCUGAUCGCCCUCCGCAUGUCACUAUUCUCUGUCUUGUAAGAGAUGCUGCUUCUAGGUUGCCUGGAAGAACUGGAACAAGAGCUGAUGUUUGCACACUUCUCAAAGAUUCACAGUACCUAAAUCAUGCAGAAUCCAAUAAAGAGGCUGCUGUUAAUCAAGUUGUCAGUGGCGCUCUUGAUCGCUUGCAUUAUGAGCGUGAUCCUUGUGUGCUGUAUGAUAAUGACAAAAAAUUGUGGACCUAUCUGCACAGGGGUAGAGAGGAGGAAGAUUUUGAGGAUGAUGGCACAUCAUCUACGAAAAAGUGGAAGAGACCAAGGAAAGAUUCAGAUCCCGCAGACCCUGGUGCAGGAAACGAUGAUCCUGAGGAUGAUGGCACCCCUAAUGCAAAAAAACAGAAGAAAGCUGAUGCAGACCCUACAGCGUCAGGAGAAGACAAGGAUGGUGUUCAGGAUCCAUCUAACAGCGGGCUGGAAGGUGACCUUGAGCUUGAUGUUGUUCCAUCAUCAACAAAUGACAAAGAAACCAGCAAGCUUGUUUCUACUGAUGCAAGGCCAGAUAUUGGUAGCUCCAGACCUUCAGUAGAUGCAGCAGCAGCAAGGGGGACAGCUGAUGCAAGGCCAGAUAUUGGUAGCUCCAGACCUUCAGUAGAUGCAGCAGCAGCAAGGGGGACAGCUGAUGCAAGGCCAGAUAUUGGUAGCUCCAGACCUUCAGUAGAUGCAGCAGCAGCAAGGGGGACAGCUGAUUGCAAUUCAUCAAGAGCCCCAGAAAAGAAGCACAAUAUGGCACUCCCUGUGCAAUUCACCAGCAGGGAGUUUAAUAAAGGUGCAGACAGAGAGGGGUCAAAAGAGUUCAUGGAUGCAACCCUGUCAUGA